CGCAUGGGCAGUCUCGAGCAGACGAGGUUACGUACGCUCGAGCAGGAAACGUCGCGCGGUCGCUCGUCAGGGUUAGGAUUCGAGGUUUGCAGCACCUGCAGAAACUUAAGGCACCGUCUCUAGAAAUCAUUUAUGUCGCCGCGGGCGUGGAACGAUUAUUUGUAUCGGUAUCACGUGGAGGGCGCACGCAGUCGAGGUCACACCAGUUCUCACUGUCAGUGAAAGUACAAGCGAUCGCAUCUCCAGAGUGAAUUCGCCGGGCGCACCUUAAACUCUUCUUAUUCCAGAAUCGAAUGGAUAUCUGGAAGCUUCUUUUAUGCCCUAUGAGCACAUAAUGUCGUAACUGUCAAAUGUGCAUAUGCAUAUGUAUCAAUGGAAAAUAGUAUGCACUGCCAUUACGUUUUGUAUGGAAAUUGAAAGUUAGCAGAUUACCUAUUCUACCGAUCCAUGCUAUAUACACAGUGAUGCGUUAAACACGCCUGUUGGGCAUUUGUACUGGGUUUUCACUAAGUUGCUGUAUACACAAAAAUAAUUUAUAAUACCCAAGUAAAUACAAUUCCUUGUUAUAAAGGAAUAGCAGUAGAUUUUAUGGAACAUGAUUAAAGUUUCGUAACUAACGUCAGUAACUUCGACGGCGUGACGAGUUCUUCGUUAGGAAGGAAGUUUAAAAAAUAUUCAGAAAAUACAUGUUAAUGUAAAUGUGGAUCAAGAUGGGCAAGGGGAACGGUGGCAAGGGGCGAGGGAGAUCCCAAGCUCAGCCUGGAGCUAAAGGCUCGAAUGAAAAGUACAUUUCGAGGUUGACGGGCUAAAAAAGUUGAGCAGUUCUCUGGGGAAUCGGGACGAUGGAGACGAACGGUCUGGUAAAUUCGCCAACCAGAUGCUGACUGCGGUGAGCAAUCAUAAAAUACAAAAGUUGCCAAUCCAUUCAGCGUUUGCUCACCAAGACCAAUACAAUUCGCUCAUGGAUCUUCGAAUCGUCCAUUCAUUGGUCUCCUUCUCCCGGCGUAGUAUUCGCACGCUAGCCGUGGGAGCGUAUUUCGCAAUCGUCGAGUUUGCAUUGUAAAUUUGCGGAAACAGGCACGUUCGACGAUAUUAAGCAAUAUUUUAUGCGCGAGGACAGUUUCGCAUGAGACUUUCCAUAUUGAGAUACAUCUUAAAAUUAACCUAUGAUACUAUUGGCAAAGUUGGUCAAACUUGUGUUUGUACGCUACAGAUGCAACUGUGAAUCCCAGUCUAAUUCAGCAACGGACGGUCGACCUCAUUUGCCUUCGUUGUGUUAAGCAGUGCAAGGAUAAGAGACAAAUAAAGAAUGGAAGCUGCGAAACGUCUGGGUCGGUGAGACCUCAGAGAGCGUGGCGAAUAAGUGAGGACACGAGAAGACGGAGGCAGUGCUGAUGGGCGUAAAAGGUGGGGACUGGCUGUUGCGGCACAACACAAGAGGACAGACAUAGAAAACGUGUAGAAGAGAUGUAGAUUUUUUUAAUAGUGUAGAUUUUUUUAAUACAAUCCAGCAAGAAGUCACACCAAUAAUUGCGACUAUCACAAAAACAUCAACAACAUCUCUAGUCAAUAUUGUUGCCAACAGUAGUGGCCAAAAUAGAAGCCUAGUGAUUUCACCAAUCACUAACGGAGAGAGUCUGGAUUACGAAAAGAUUUCUAUGCUGUCGUAAUAUAAACUAUUGACACGUGCACAAGCCAGGAAGUUGGACUAAGAAAUAAUUUGGAUUAAUUGUUAUUGAUGCUGCGCGAAUAUGAAUCCAAGGAAGGAGAAGGAAGACUUAACGCGGAUCUGUCUUGUAAUUUCGUCAGGGUCGGUAAGCUGAGGAUUUACGAACCCAACUUUGUGUUUCGGGGUCGCGACUCUCAUCCGGUCGAACCAGUCGGCACCUGGAGAUCUAACUGCCACCGUGAAAGCCAGAGAUGAAGAUGCAGAGUUACCGGCGAGCGUCUGGAGAGGAGCAGGUUAUCUCGGUCAUCCUUCGUUUCACAGCUGUCCUGACCCUGAUGCUUAUUAACCAGAAUCCACCUGGGUCUUCUUCCAAAGUGCACGUCAUCAUCCAUACUUUAUUAAGAUUGAGCAAUCAUUACUCGGCCGAAUGGACCGGUAGGUAAGGAAAGAUCAUGAAAUCAAUUUCCAAAUUUGGCCAAUGAUCUCGACAGAGUUGGACACGUGUAAUUAUAAUGGACUUUCAUAGCUGUACCUUUUUUCUUUCAGACAACUCUCGAAGUCAUUGUCACUGGGGAAAUUACGUGUGAGAGACUCUUUUUUUUCUUUAUGGAGUUUCAAAAGUCUUUCGUCCUCCGCUUGGAAAUGCAUGUGCCCGUUAUAUCAUACUAACAGAGUCAGUCGGUAACUCGGCGAAUGAAAAUAUCGCCCUUCUUUUGCGACUGGCUAGGUAUGCCUAAUGUAGGAUCUAGUUACCAGGAGAUCCCUUUUAAUACAUUACCUCCGGGCCUGGUUUAAUGACGCUUGGGUAACAACACGCUCUCCUAAUGCGUUCAUUAUCUCUUUACGUGCUACGUUCAGUAUCCAAACUCCGCACCUUUCCAGGAGUAUAGGCGGCUACGUAAUAACGUUAACACUGUACGGGUCCGAGCUGUGUUUAUGUAGUUGUAUGCGCGGAAAUAGUAGUAUAGUAUACAUGGGAAUAGUAUGGUCCCAAUUCGUCUACCAAUAACUAUGACUUAGUAGCUGAUACCGUGGGGAACCUCCUGUCAUAGCCAUUAAGUCCGGUUUCUAUUUUCUAAUGAAAAAUAAUAUAAGACAAAUCACGCCUGGAUUACACAUACAAGGUUGUAGGAUUGUAAUCGUUAUUGAGGAAUAGAAAAAUUCUGGAAUUUCUUAGUAUUCGAAUUUUUGAAAAGACAUUGGGUGACAGUAAUUAAUUAAAAGAGAGAAUCGAUUAUGCCGGUUACAUUGAACGAGUCGUAGAAGCGUCAGAUCUUUAUGCGAAAGACAUAUCUUAGGAUGUUCCUUAAUGUACUUACUCGUUGGUCGUUUUGGCGAAUCUGUAUUUAACAUCUCUUUGGGUUUUUUUUUUUUUUUCAAAAUUAAUUUCACUCCUCUCAGCGACGUUCCCUUCUACGUCUUUGUCACUGGCCGAUGUGUUUAACUCUUCUUUUUUCGCGUUCUUAUUUCUUGUCUCUCAAGGCAGUUCGACGCACGAGAAACUUCCGUCCUUCGCGGGGUUAUGGUUCAGGACGAUGGACGGGCUCGGUAAGUUUGUCAUUUGACAUUAGUCGUGUCUCUCAGUCCAUCCCUCUGAUGUCUUGUGUCCCUCUUUAUAUUUUAACCUCUCUCUUGUGCUUAAGCGUAAAAAAGAAAGUUUCUCAAGUAGAAAAUAUCGUAAUCCUCGAAACUUUUUUACCCCACGACAUCCCAUUGCCGCUGGGCUUCCAUUUUCUUACGCUCGACUCCUUCUGCUGAAUUCUCGACACGAGUUACGCAUAACAAACUUAUUGAUUCGAGCAAGAGUCUUCGGGCGAACUUAGAGGAACAAUAAAGAUGGGAUAAAAUUUACUGUAAAUCUAUUGGUAUAUACCGUAGUCUAUGUAUAAAGUCGAAUAUUCGAAAGAGAAAUACGCAGAAAGUGUAUCGUUCGGUUAAGGUUAUAUUGUGAUAAUUGUAUUAUCGUACCAUGAUGCACUUACCAAUGACGUUACACUGUAGACAAUUGGGAUCAUUAAGAAAGGAAUUUAAGUAAUUUUCUAUCAAAACAAUACUUUCCGAGGUUUUCGAGUUACUUGGUGCAUUAUACAAUGCGAUAUUGAAAUUAUUGUUAAUUGAAAUAUUUGAUUAACAGAAAGUCGUGAGAAUUUAUUCGUCAUCGUGAUGACGAAUUGUCAAUUAUUAAAAAUAUUCCAGUUCACCUGUCCUCCAUGUUUUGUAAUUCAAAGAAUGUAACAAGGCAGUCGAUUCUAUUGUUUUCAUUUUACCUAGCGCUCGAGGACUUUUAUGAAUUAUUACGUGCUUUGAUUAACCGUCUCUACCAGCGUAAGUUUAUUCAAUCCUUUUUCAAAUGUGUCUAGUGAAUACCAUCAGAGCGAAGAAAGGAAGGAAGGAUAAUUGCAAGUGGAGAUACGAACUUCUCCUUGAGAUUCUUUACCGGCAGUACGUGCUGCAAUGUAAAUCAGCCUAAAGGUAUCCAAACGUGGCUAAAACAUCGGCAAACCGUUUUACUUGGAAUCGUAAAUCGGAAAUUCUGGCCAGGCAUAUUUCGAAGUACUGGAAGUUGCCCAAAAUUGUGU